rnacentral:tRNA from 1 species
UGGGGAAUGGCUCAGUGGUAGAGCACAUGCUCAGCAUGCACGAGGUCCUGGGUUCAGUCCCCAGCACCUCCA